rnacentral:rRNA from 1 species
UACGAAGGGGGCUAGCGUUGCUCGGAAUCACUGGGCGUAAAGCGCACGUAGGCGGCUUUCUAAGUCAGGGGUGAAAUCCUGGAGCUCAACUCCAGAACUGCCUUUGAUACUGGAGAGCUUGAGUCCGGAAGAGGUGAGUGGAACUCCGAGUGUAGAGGUGAAAUUCGUAGAUAUUCGGAAGAACACCAGUGGCGAAGGCGGCUCACUGGGCCGGUACUGGCGCUGAUGUGCGAAAGCGUGGGGAGCAAACAGG